UCAUUCAUGAUCAGGGUCCAAGUCUUUGC
rnacentral:piRNA from 1 species